rnacentral:rRNA from 1 species
CCAAGGAGUCUAACAUGUGCGCGAGUCACUCGGUCUUGAUUAGGCCAGAGAGGCACAAUGAAAGUAAAUUUUUAUGUUACGAUCCUUAUGCGGUUAUCCUUCAUGGGUAACGGUAAGGCGCAGUAACAGCCCGCCAAUUUCGCCUAUUGACGAUCUGGCGGAGUUGUAGCGUACACGUUGGUACCCGAAAGAUGGUGAACUAUGCCUGGGCAAGACGAAGCCAGAGGAAACUCUGGUGGAGGUCUGUAGCGAUUCUGACGUGCAAAUCGAUCGUCAGACCUGGGUAUAGGGGCGAAAGACUAAUCGAACCAUC